rnacentral:rRNA from 1 species
CCGUUAGUUGCCAGCGGUUCGGCCGGGCACUCUAACGGGACUGACCCGCGAAAGCGGGAGGAAGGAGGGGACGACGUCUGGUCAGCAUGGCCCUUACGGCCUGGGCGACACACGUGCUACAAUGCCCACUACAAAGCGAGGCACCCGGCAACGGGGAGCUAAUCGCAAAAAGGUGGGCCCAGUUCGGAUUGGGGUCUGCAACCCGACCCCAUGAAGCCGGAAUCGCUAGUAAUCGCGGAUCAGCCAUGCCGCGGUCGAAUACGUUCCCGGGCCUU